UACGUAGGGGGCUAGCGCUGUCCGGAUUUAUUGGGCGUAAAGCGCGUGUAGGCGGCUUGAUAGGUCUGCUGUGAAAACUCGGGGCUCAACCCCGAGAGGUCGGUGGAAACCAUCUGGCUAGAGUCCGGAAGAGGAGAGUGGAAUUCCCGGUGUAGCGGUGAAAUGCGCAGAUAUCGGGAAGAACACCCGUGGCGAAGGCGGCUCUCUGGGACGGUACUGACGCUGAGACGCGAAAGCGUGGGGAGCGAACAGG
rnacentral:rRNA from 1 species